GGCGUAAGACAUGGUUCUCAGAAAUAAUAAACAACAGUGAACACACCUGCUAUUUACUUACUUCUUGCCAGGCGCUACAAAACACCUGAUGGAAAAUGAGGGAAAAGUGCUGGUCUCACAAAGGUCAUUUCAGCUUUAUCUGGGCCCACUGGCAAGUAAAUACCAGCAGAAUCCUUUUGGACCAAGGACAGAAAUAUGUAAAAUUCAGUACAAAUAAACAGAGAGAAAAAUUGGAAGGUCCUUCUGGAAAGUACUUAUUUCAACCCUCUCUCAGCCCAUCCCUGUGAAGGUUCAGGGGAUUAAAGUCUUCCAUCUCUAGCCAAGAAGAGGACCCAUCAAAAAUUAUAUGUAAGCCUCUCUACUGAUUUCUGUAUGAUAUAGACUUAAUUUGAACAAGGACUGUAUUAAUUGAAAAAAAAAGUUGCAUUCUGGUGGCAGGGAAAAGACUAUAUAUGGAAACUGCAAUCUGAUCUGAUCUGCUCAAAGUUAGUAAGAGUUAAAUGGAUUUUACAUUAACUGUGUAUCUAUGAGCCUCAGUGCUUUACCCAAAAUGGCAGAGAUACUUUCUCUUCUCAUAUUCCUAUCUUUGCUGAAUUAUUACCCUAAUACCACUGUAUGUUGUCUAUUACUCUGUAAAAAAAAAAAAAAACAAAAAACAAAAAACAAAAAACCUCAAAAUUUAGCAGUAUAAAACCACAGACCUUUAUUACACAUAGUUUCAAAGGGUCAGGAAUCCAUGAGUAGCUUAAUUGAGUGGCUCUGGCUCAAAGACUCUCAUGAGGCUGUCAUCAAGGUAUAGUCCAUGGCUGCAGUCUCAUCUGAAGACUUGACUGGGGAUGUAGGUUCUGCUUUCAAGAUGGCACACUCACAUGGCUAUUGGAAGAAAGCUUUAGCUCCUUGCUGACAGGUGGCAGAAAGCCUCAGUUCCUUGCUCCAUUAGGCACUCUAUGGGCUGCUUGAGUGUCUUCAUGAUAUGAUAGCUGGCUUCCCAUAGAGGGAGUGAACUGAGGGAGAAAGCAAGGCUGAACCACAAUAUCUUUUACAAUCUAGCCUAAGGAGUCACAUGGCAUCACUUCUGCAGUGUUCCACUGAUCAUUCAGACCAAUCCUGAUAUCGUCUGGGAGGGGAUUACACGGAGUGUGACAGACAGGAGGCAGAGAUCAUUGCAAGCCAUCUUAAAGGCAGGCUACCACAACUACACCUCCAGGUAAUGAACUAUUAAUAUUUGCUUUAAAACUCUGAAUCCCUGUUUCAAGUAACCUCUUUUCCCUAAUGCAUUCAAGUUUAUAUUACCCUUGGGAAUUAAAAAAAUUAAAAAUGUAUAAAUAUUAGUGCUGGACUUUGUGUUGCCCCUCCAGAAGUAUGUUCAAAAGGAUAGUUUCUUUUGGAGGGCAGGGGAGAUACUCUGGAAUCAGACUGUGAUGAUACUU
rnacentral:lncRNA from 1 species